rnacentral:lncRNA from 1 species
UCGACAAUCGGGCAGAGAUACUCAAUGGGUUUGCCCUUUCGGGUGUGCCAUUGUAGCUCUCCUGAGAUCGUCUAAACCAAAGAUCCGGAAAGAUCGGUCACCGAAGUCAAUAGCUCAAAAGAGGUAACCCAACCAAAGUGGAAAACCCCACAAAGGAAGAGCACUCUCCAAUGAACCUCGUCCGGCUUGUGGUAUGUCACGUCGCAACA